GGAAUAUUGCACAAUGGGCGAAAGCCUGAUGCAGCGACGCCGCGUGAGUGAAGAAGUAUUUCGGUAUGUAAAGCUCUAUCAGCAGGGAAGAAAAUGACGGUACCUGACUAAGAAGCCCCGGCUAACUACGUGCCAGCAGCCGCGGUAAUACGUAGGGGGCAAGCGUUAUCCGGAUUUACUGGGUGUAAAGGGAGCGUAGACGGUAAAGCAAGUCUGAAGUGAAAGCCCGCGGCUCAACUGCGGGACUGCUUUGGAAACUGUUUAACUGGAGUGUCGGAGAGGUAAGUGGAAUUCCUAGUGUAGCGGUGAAAUGCGUAGAUAUUAGGAGGAACACCAGUGGCGAAGGCGACUUACUGGACGAUAACUGACGUUGAGGCUCGAAAGCGUGGGGAGCAAACAGGA
rnacentral:misc_RNA from 1 species